AUAAUAAACUACCAAUACUAUCUGACCUCAGUUUAUAAAAAUAGACCAUUUGAAAUUUCCCUUAGAAAGAAAUUUGAAGAUACUAAUAUACUUCAAAGGACAAAGCCAUCAACAAGACAAGCAUGUAUAUUUAUCAGGUCCUCUUCUUAGUUCUUGCUAUUUUGCAACUUAGCUCAGCCGCUGAGUGCGAUAUUAGUCAGUGCGCAAUAAACAGGUUUACAAUCCAAUGCAAUCCUGGCUAUAGACCAGCCUAUGGCAUAUGCAGUUGCUGUAUUACUUGCGAAAGGGUUCUAGAGGAAGGAGAAAGUUGCCAAAUAUCAGCGCCUCAAUACGAGGAGACUACAAAUGGUGUAGUCUAUGAAAAUUAUAGCUAUCCGCAAUGUGGAUAUGGUCUAUAUUGCAGUGAGACUACCAACACUUGUCAACCUAUUGACUAUUAAUUAUUCCACAAUGCUUCAAUUUAAUCUAGAUUCCCAAGAAUUACGAUUCCACUUUUUGAAUGAAAUAAAUUUUUCAGAAACUCAA